rnacentral:tRNA from 1 species
GCCCGGGUGGCGUAGUCUGGUAACGCAUCGGCCUGUGGAGCCGAGGAUCCCGGGUUCAAAUCCCGGCCCGGGCC